GACAGAGGUUGCAACGUUGUUCGGAAUUACUGGGCAUAAAGCGCACGUAGGCGGUUCGUUAAGUCAUGUGUGAAAUCCCUCGGCUCAACCGAGGAAUUGCGCCUGAUACUGGCGGGCUAGAGAUCGAUAGGGGUGAGUGGAACUCCAGGUGGAGCGGUGAAAUGCGUAGAUAUCUGGAGGAACACCGGUGGCGAAAGCGGCUCACUGGAUCGAUACUGACGCUGAGGUGCGAAGCUAGG
rnacentral:rRNA from 1 species